rnacentral:ribozyme from 1 species
UUUUUUUUUUUUUUUUUUUUUUUUUUUUUUUUUUUUUCCU